rnacentral:rRNA from 1 species
AUGGGGGAUAAGCUUCAUCGUCGAGAGGGAAACAGCCCGGAUCACCAGCUAAGGCCCCUAAGUGACCGCUCAGUGAUAAAGGAGGUGGGGGUGCAAAGACAGCCAGGAGGGGAGCGUUCCGCCUUAGAGGGAAGCAACCGCGAAAGCGGGGGUCGACGAAGCGAAAGCGAGAAUGUCGGCUUGAGUAACGAAAACAUUGGUGAGAAUCCAAUGCCCCGAAAACCCAAGGUUUCCUCCGCAAGCUUAGGUGGAAGGCGAAGAAGGCCCCCUUCCAGGGGGGCCCGAGCCAUCAGUGAGAUACCACUCUAG